rnacentral:lncRNA from 1 species
AAACCUUCCGUACAGAAUCCAAGUUAAUAAAUGUAGGAAAAUAACAGGCUGGAGAGAUGGCUCAGCAGUUAAAAGCACCGGCUGAUCUUCCAGAGGACCUGGGAUUUAAUUCCCAGCACCCACAUGGCAGUACAUAACUGUCUGUAACUCCAGUUCCAGGGCUCAAACCCCAAUUCUGGCCUCUUCAGGCACCAGGCACACUCAUGAUGCAGAGACAUACAUCCAGAGCGUGAAGAGAGCAGGCACAGAGCCACCGGUUCCGUCCUGACUGAUGCUGCAAGGCUGAACCCUAUCCUCCCAGGUCUGGGAGUGGGAUGACCGUACAUACUUGGCAGAAGCCCUUCCUGCCCCAGCCUCCCGCGUCCAGCUCCUCUAAGGCUUCACUUUCCCCUGGAACCUAGCAGCCCAGCCCCGGGAAGUCCCUAGCCGCCAGGUUCCAACUUUCCCUCCUCUGGGGGGCGCCGCGCUACCGGGACCUUCUCAGCCAGGGUAGCGAGGCCUGGGCCGACGGGGGGCACGAGAGGGCUCGCGGCCCCCGCGGGGCGCGUGGGUGGCCGGGACGCUGCAGCCUGCGCCCUGCUGGACGCACCGGCUGCCGAGCCCCUGCGGCGCCGCCCAGUCCAGAUUCCCCUAGGUCCGCGUCCUCACCUCGCGGCGACCCUGGCCCCACAAGCCAGCGCGCGUGGGAAAGGGACCGGAGGGUACGUGGGCAACCCUGCCCCCGUUACCUGAGGGGAAGCACACGCCGUUGCAAUGAUCACCAUUGCCGCCCGUCCCGUCCCCUUUCUGGUGAUCGCGGCCGCCGCCACCGAGCAACUGACACAACUAACUAACUACUCGCGGCCGCGGAGUCCACAGCGCGCUCCCGGCCGCUCGCCGUCCACCCAGCCUACCAGUCUGCUCGCUCCUCCCAACCCCGCACGCCGCCCUGCCGCGCGCACCCUCGACCGCUUCGGUUCUUGAGAUAGCGCGCGCGCGCGCACCAAAGCUCGGCGUCUCGGAGCUCUCCACUCCGCCCCAUGGGAGGAGCUGCCAAGAGGCCACGCCUCCCGGCGUGCCAAUA